GACAGAGGGUGCAAACGUUGUUCGGAAUUACUGGGCGUAAAGCGUGUGUAGGUGGCCGCGCAAGUCGGAUGUGAAAGCCCUGGGCUCAACUCAGGAAGUGCACCCGAUACUGCGUGGCUCGAGUACCGGAGAGGUUGGUGGAAUUCUCGGUGUAGAGGUGAAAUUCGUAGAUAUCGAGAGGAACACCGGUGGCGAAGGCGGCCUUCUGGACAGUGACUGACGCUGAGACGCGAAAGCGUGGGGAGCAAACAGG
rnacentral:rRNA from 1 species